rnacentral:tRNA from 1 species
GCGUGCGUAGCUCAACGGCAGAGCAAUCGGCUUAUAUCCGAUCGGUUCUAGGUUCGAAUCCUGGCGCACGCA